AAUUCCCUGGGGUGCGAUCAAGUUAUUUGUACCCUGAGCCGAUAUCUACAGACAUUGGUGUCUUCCUGAUUAUGGUGUGCAGGCCCGGAUUGCCCGCGGAAGCCUAAGUAGUCAUCUGAUGCCAAACUUGAACACACUGGUUCAAGGAGUCAAGAAUAGCGGAUUCACUUCCGGGGUACCA
rnacentral:other from 1 species